UACACUCCCAACCAUAGCAAAAGUCACACCUUAAGGCAAAGUGUAAAUAUGAAACGGAGAAGAUAUACCUUGUUUUACAUUUAUAUUCAUGUUUCGUAUAAACACCGCACAGAGGGAAAGAAAGGCGGGCUAGUAAUUUGCUCCGAAUUGGAACAGAAUUCCGACCCGCUUAAAAAGUAGACAAAAAUAAGAGGAGGAGACAAAUAAAGAGAAGAACACAGGAAAGCACACCACAGCACAUCACAUCACAUGCAGUGUACGGACACUGCCGACGAGAGUCUAUUCCUGCAAUUAAGCAAAAGAAGCUACAAACUAAUCAUUCUUAUUUCUUUCCCAAGAAAUUAGGCGCACAUCUGCUCUAUUUUUCGUAAAGCAUGCAGUUGGGGCCCGUGACACAUCGAUGAAAGCGCCACCUAUAAGCUGCACUCGAUGUCCAGAGUCCCAUCUUUCUACAGAAAAAUACAAAGAAAAGUACGAAGGAACCAACGCUGAUGCACCAGUCAGUAAAGAUGCGGCGACGACCAAAAAAAAAAAAAAAAAAAGAAACGAAAUGCGUCCACAAGAACCGCAAUACUGCGCGCGAAACAAGUGUGAAGCGACUGCUCACUGCCAUCCUCGCAGUCUCGCCGGCAGUCAUCAACACUGAAAUGUUACCAGCGCACGACAGAUGACAACAAUGGCUGGAGAGAGGGCGAUGAUGCAGACCGACAGGCAGCCUGCAAAUCUCCAAAGAAGUCAGGCCGGUCGAUCAGCGUCACCGGAUGUGAUGCCUCAUAUUGGGCCUUUUGUCAGCUCCUGGCGAGCACAGAUAGCUGUGGAACGGGCUGAUCUCGCUCUUGCCUGCAUUACCCGGCUGGUGUGGCCCUUUCUCUGCGCCUCCCACCAUCUUUUUCUUUUUUUUCCCUUUGCCGAAGACAAGACGCGAGGAAUUUGCGGAAGGGGCGUGAGCUUGCAGGACACGACAAUGCCUGCUGACCUUUGCGACAGCCACGAGUAGUACUGGAAGGAGUCCGAUUUCGUUCCUACUCUUUCUGCCGUAACCACAAUCGGAGGAACCUCGAAAGUGUUACUCAUGCGUAUAGGAAGAAGACUAAAAAGAGAAAGACACCCGCUGCGAAGACGACCGACGGACGAUCCACGCUUGGAGCGCAAAUUUGGCGCGCACAAAAGGAAGCAGGCGCAUGCAAAAAGAAGCCCGUUGCCUCAAGCGGGAGUAUUUCAAGACCUCCCAUACGGCGUAAGCAUUUUGCGAAACCGCACGAAAAGCAGAUUAUCUGCUGCCUAGCGGCGGAGGAGAGCGUAAGUUGUUUUGUGUUGGUAUGGCUUUUUUUUUUUUCGCGAGGUGGUCGGCAAGUGAGUCUCGAGGAAGAGAACGGAGCGUUGCCGCAUGGGAAGGGAUCGUAAUGCGUUGCCAUUGUUUCCCUUUUGCAGGCGGCUAACAAGACUUAGGCUCUGAAAGACCCACGUGGCCAAUUACGCGAGCGCGCCACGCCAGCCGGCCAUCUGGUCUGGCCCUCUGUGCCUUUUCUCUUCUCGUGGCCGGCCCGGCGGAUGAGGCCCAACGGCGUCUUGCGUGGCGCUUUGGAGAGCGGGCUAUGACAAACGCCGUUUUGUGUCGCCGAGAGGACCUUGUCGAAGAAAGCUCAUUGAGAGGAAUGCAAAUGUGUCGAAAGGAAGUGAGGCCUUUUUGAGUCCAACUCAAACAGUGAUGUUAAAAGGGGAGGCUGAACGACCGACAGAAUAAGCCGAGCUUGAAUGCUUAAGAGAGGAUGUAAUACGGAUUUUUUUUUCUCAUGGGAGUGUGCAGAUAAUCGUGCCUCUAAGUGGUGCCGCGAUCUCUUUUCGUGAUUGGGGAAACAUAGAAGUAAAGUGAUCGCAGUGGUGUGCAUUACUCACAAUUGGCCUGCCGUAUACCGGAAUUUCGGUAUACCGGUAUACUAAAUUUCGGUAUGGAAGCCAUUUCAAUCUUAAAAGAGAAGACGCACGUUGCCAGUUUACGUGCAAUUCAUCGCGCGACGCGUGGGAGAGACAGCCGGCCAGGCUUGCCGUAUCAACGACGAUUCAGGACUCGUGGCGUACGAAAAAGCGAGCGGGAUGUGUACGCUCCGUCCAAAUCCGAAGCUCCUGCAUGCACGCCCGGGAGACUUCAGAUCAUCGCCAAAAAGGACACACAAAAUAAAUCGUGUCUGCACAAUGCA